rnacentral:ribozyme from 1 species
CUGGAAAAAAAAAAGUUCCUUCAAAGUUCUAAUUUUCUGUAUCGUUAAAUUUCGUAUCGUAAAACACUAUGGGUAAGCAAAAGACACAUGUAAACCUCGUCGUCAUUGGUCAUGUC